AAUAUCUAUAUAUAUAUAUAUAUAAAAUUGUUUGCCUCCCUCCUGUUUGGCCACAUCAGCGCCAGGUCAGAAAGUCGACUCCUCUAAGCGCGACACGUGUCCCAGACAAAUGAAACUCAUCGUUUCAUUUAAGCUUGAGCCAAUUGGGCUUUGAUCGUUAAUGUGUCUCUCUGUAUCUGAUUUCUUUAGUUUGUUCACGUUUUGAAUGGGUUUUAAGUUUCAAUAACCGGAUAUCAAUUAAUAGGCUUCAAUAUUAACUGCAACAAUUGUUUUGGGUUUAGAAAGCUUGGUCAAACAGGCUGCUAAUACACAUGAUGAGCCCAACAACUCCAAACGUCAUAAUCAAAACUACAGACGAAUCGUUUCUAGAGCUCCUUCAAUGCACUAUUUCUCAUUCAAUGCAUCUCUCUUUUCUCAGUCGGUGAAAUACAACUAUAAGUAGAUUAGUCUUCAAUCUGUAAAACUCAUCAUUUCAUUUCUGACAGUCAUAUAAACUUUGGCAAAGCAGAAUAGUGAAGAAUCCUUCUCUCCUCCUUGCUGAUUUUAAAGCAGUCAUAAAUAGAUUAGUCUUCUAUCCUUUCUCUUCCUGGACGACGAAACCUCCUUUUGCUUGCGCAUUCAUGAAGCCGUUCGCGGGCAGGCUUUUUACAGAGUAUGAGGUUAAUGUGAGGUGAAAACAGCUUUGUAUUUUGCGGCGGCCAUUGAUGCGGUGGACGAUUCGGUUAAGGCAGAUGCUUCUUCCUAAGCUGGAGAGAGGUGAUGAAUCAGAUGAUGGAGGCAUGGAAACCAGUCCCAGAUUUACCAGAGGAGGCUUCUCCACCAGGAUAAAGGUGUGACAUGCUUCUUGACUGAUGUAAAGAGAUUGUUCUCAGAAGAAGCUGAGAGACGAAGCUAUGAGGAUCUAGCGUGAGAAAACCACAUUUGUUGCAGUCUGGGAAAGACACAAAAUGUAAGCUCCGGAAACAUCUUGGAGAGGUUUUUCCAAAGAACUUUGCGCGAAUGAAUAGGUUACUGAGGUAAAAGACGGAGAGAUUGCAAAUCUAAAAGAUGAGGAUAAGGUUGAUCAGUUGAUGUUAGCUCACUGACAACUAGAGACUAAGGAACUUGAAUCUCAGUGCAGCAUCCAUUCUUUGUUUUUAUUUAUUCUUGAGUUAUGUUAUUGUUGGAAAGUUUAUGUCCUUACCUUACAAAUGACCAUUGUUCCACCUGUAUAAAAAUCAGUUGGAUAAACAAAGAUUUUCUAAAGCUACAAUUUUAAAGCUCUUUGGCUAAUUUAUAAUGUUAUUUUGAGAAACGGGUCCGUAAAACCAACAACUCAAACUGCACCGUCUGAUUUUAUUCUACGGUGGGGAAGUAACUGUGUUUAGUGAUUUCUCUGCUGAGAAAUCCAAAUAUCAGAGGAAACAACAAUCAAUAUGACAAACAUAAUUUAGGAAUCCUAUGUCAAGUCAGCCGUGUAAAACGCACGCAUUAUGACGACUUUGGCUGUUUAAAUUAAUUUGAAUGAAAUAAAAAAGUAUACAAAAUUUCUGAACUUUUGUUGGGAUUGUGAGAAAGUUAAAGGAGAAAAACCUAUUAUACCAAACUUUGUUAUGUCUUUUAUUUUAUUUUUGCAGAUAUAUAUCUUCAUUGUGUUCAUGGUCAGCCACGAUCAAGAAAGUGAGAAAUAACCUUUUUACAGGAGCACUCCUUUCAAUCUCUCUUACAGGGUUACAGUAUUUAGCGGCAAUAAAGCGACCCAGUAAUAAAUCAGGUGAAUCGCGACCAUCCUUACAUAAUCUCUCUGUCACCUCAGUCAUUGUAUAUUUUUCUCAAGAGUUUUGGUGUCCUUAACCUGAGGUUUAUUAUGAGUAGUUGUUGAUCUCUCUCCAUGUUAUAAGCUUCCUGCUGGUUUUGAGGUAUAUCAUUAUCACAUUUCAGGUUGAGCCUAGAGUUGAAGCUGAAUCAUGGUUUGUAAUUGGUGGUUUUAAUGAAAACUUUAUUGUAAUGGGAGAAAGGUUAGACGGUAGUCCUAAACAGAAGAAGAGAUCGAGCUUAUUCACGAGGUGGUCUUAGUGAAAGGAUUGCUGUGAGGGCCGGUUUUAACUGAGUAUAAACAAUGACAGUAUUCUUCGGUUUCUAUGUUUAACCAUCUCUUCUCCUGCUCUUAGCCCUGCCAACUCCACUAGAGUCUCCGAAUUUCCUCUUAAUAUUUCUUUUCAUGCGUAAAUUUGAUUUAUAUCAUUUUGGGAAUUCGAUACAUCUAACCGAGUUUGGUAUACAAUGUGGAAUUACACAAAGAUUGUAAAAAAAAGGUGGGUGUGGGCCGUAUGGCAACUUGGAAUCACCACUUGAUUUCGACCAACAAUAUAAAAUCCAAACAUUUAAUUAUUACGAAUUGAAUCGAAGAUUCAGUAUUAUUUAUAUUUAAUAGUUUAAUUUAUAUUUUAAUUAUGUUGAUCUUACAACAACACUCAUACAAAAAAAAAAUAUUUCCAUUUAUACGAAUUACAAUAACAAACAUGAAUGCCAUAGCAAAAAAAAUAACAAACAUGAAUGCUGUUUUUUUUUUGGUAGAGCAUGAAUGUUAUUAAAUAAACUAUUAUGGCUCUGAUGUCCAAACCAAAUAAAGCAUGAAUUAAGGACAAUAUAUUACAAGAUGUAUUAUGUAGUCAAUGACGGGUUCUCACGCUGAAUAUUCUAACAUCCUACAUAACUAAUUAAAUAUGGCAUAGAAAUAAUGGUUCACAAAUGAUAUAACCAACCCCGGUUGAAGUUAAAAACAAAUGUCAAUCCAAACAUUUAUAUUUACAAAUGCUCAUUCAAAUAUAAGAUGUUUCUAUAUUAUUUUAAAGUUACUGUCCCGCCCGUAGGGCGGGUUUACUCUAGUUUAAAGUAAAUUAAAGAAUAAAAUGAUUAAAUUAUUCCAAAUUCUAAGCUUUUAUUUUAACUUUGUCCUUUAAAUACUAAACAUUAUAUAAUAAUCAUAAACUCAAAUAUAAAAGUUAUUAAAAUAAACUUUUAAUUAGUGUUAUUUUGGAAAAUUUUCUCUCAUGUGCUAUUUUGUAACAAAAAUGUUUAAUCUUAUCCUAUAAUAUUUUUUAGGAAAAUUCCAACUUUACCUCAAACUUGAUAUCAUUAUUUUAAAUUUACAUUUAAAUGAUAAUCAAUUUCAUAAAUUCAUCAAGUUUAUUAUACAAACAGACAGAUUAACCCUUUUAAAUCAUUUAUGCAAGAAUUAGUUAUAGAAGUUUAUAAGCCCACCACAUUCCUAAAUCCUAAACCUUAAACCAUAAUCACUAAAUUUUAAAUCCAAAUGUUAGAGUGUUUUUGAUUGAAUGUAUUUUUUUAAAAUCAGUAUCCAACAUAAUUUAUGUCAAAUAACUUCUCAAAAUUUUCUUCUUUUUGGCCAACUAAAUUUUUUUUUACCUAUUUCUAAAAGAUAACUUUUGGAUUUAAUUAUUUUAACAUGGUAAAUAUUAGUCGAUAAACAUGAUGAAAUUUUUGUGCUGCAAUUGCUGUAAAAAGCUCGACUAUUGCUAUUGCUUAGGGAUGGGUAAAAACAAAAAACGAAACAAACCAACCCAACCGAACCAAACUAAAGUAAAUGUCGAAACUUUUUGGUUAAAAUUUUUAUCAACUCAAAUGUUUUUUUCUCGGUUUUAAACAGAACCUAAAAGUCGAAUUUAAAAAAAUUAAAUUAAAUAAAUACACUAAUAAUAUUAAGAUUUAAGAUAUUUAAUCAUUUAAAAAAAUCAAGCAUAAUUUAUAUAUUUUACUUCUAAAUGAAUAGUAGGAAAAAAAAAAACUAAAAACUAAAAUAAAAAUAUGAAUCUCUUACAUUAACAUCAAAACUAAAAAAUUAACUAUUAUAUUUAUCUUAGGUUUAAAAAUAAUAAUAAUAUAAAAUUAUUGAAUUACAUCUUUUAUAUUUUUAUUGAGAUUUUUUGGCUUUAUGUUUAAAUAUGAAGAAGAUAAUGAUUUAGUGUUGAUUUAUUUUAUGUUUUAAUAUUGUAACCGAAAUAGAAAAAAAAACUAAAAGAUUGAUCACUCGAUUGAACUGAACAUAUACAAAUUAAAAAAAUAAACUAAAACCAAACUGAAUACAAACCAAAUUGUAUUAAAACUGUACUAAACCGUACGCAAACCAAACCAAACUAAUUUAGAUUGAUUUUGGUUAAAAAAAUUGUAAACCCAAAUAAACUAAAUCGAACCGAAUACAAAAUUAAACUAAAAUGCGCACCCUACUCUUACUAGUAGAGUUGAUGUCGAUUAAAUUAUCUUUGACCAUAACUAUAAUACUAUUAAAAAGAAUAGUUGAAAACAAAUAUUUGUGUGUACUUGGAACAUUAUUUUCUUUGUCUCCAUUUUACUUGUGGCCUAUGAGAAAAGACAAAUUUAAUAUUAAUUAAACAGAUAAAGAUGAAUUUGGACUGAUUUACCAAAAAGAUGAAUUUGGACUGAUUUAUCAAAAAGAUGAAUUUGGACUGAUCGACCAACAAACAACAACUAUUAUUUGUUCCUAAUUUAUCCAAAAGUUGAUGCAUAUGAUUGAUUUAACCUAAUGUUUUCUCUGUAUCCUUGUAAAUGCAGCACUAAUUUGAAUUAGAGGACAUUUUGUUUUAUUUCAUACGUGGAACAAGAACCCUAAUAAAGUACACAUACUAGUACUGGCACUAAUUUACUAGUCCGAUCUCAUGACUUUUACACUUGGGAAAGUUAACAAAAAAUUACAAAAAUAUUGGGAUUAAUGGAAGAAUCUUUCUACUGGAAUGUGAAACGAAGUGGUGCUGAUACGACGCUGUAUCAUCUUUCAGACAAAAGCUGCACGUCAGUGACAAUCAUCGUCUUGGGCAUCCAACAAAACAUUCUUCUUUUUACUUUGUUUUUUUCGGGUUUAGCAUAUUUCACAUUUGCCCCUUUUUCUUUUACAAAAAUAUCAUUCAACAUUUCUAUUUUUCUUUGGUAAACUCAACAUUUCUAUUUGUAAAACUGUUAUCGCAAUUAUUAAAGCAAGUUUUUGUUGUUGGUUUUUCAAAUAUAGCGUUUACAUCAAAAUAUAUUGUAACUUCAAACUGUUGAAUUACGACAAAAAAACAUAUUUAAUUUCAUUCAUCAAAUAAAAUACUUACGGUGACAA